rnacentral:tRNA from 1 species
AAAGGGAGACCUAAUUCAGGUAACAGACGAAAAAAAAGUAGUCGCUACCAAGAAUCAAUCCCAAAAGGUCGGAGCGAGGCGAAAUUGGCUUUCAAACUAGGUUCUGGGUUCAAACAAGACCUGAAUCAGGAACAAGGGCUAUUAGCUCAGGUGGUUAGAGCGCACCCCUGAUAAGGGUGAGGUCCCUGGUUCGAGUCCAGGAUGGCCCACCUGCACAGGUGGCAAAAACAAGAGAAGCGAGGAAUCAGCACCUUAUCUUACUUAUAUAGUAAGAGAGAAUGCUGGCUCUGAGUAAAGAGUCCAGAGGAACCUUGAAAACUGCAUAGAGCUAGGUGAAAAAGCCAAAAAAGAAGACCGCAAG